AGUGAACGCUGGCGGUAGGCCUAAUACAUGCAAGUCGAACGGCAGCACAGUAAGCGCUUGCUCUUACGGGUGGCGAGUGGCGGAUGGGUGAGGAAUACAUCGGAAUCUACUUUUUCGUGGGGGAUAACGUAGGGAAACUUACGCUAAUACCGCAUAUGAUCUACGGGUGAAAGCAGGGGAUCUUCGGACCUUGCGCGUUUGAAUGAGCCGAUGUCGGAUUAGCUAGUUGGCGGGGUAAAGGCCCACCAAGGCGACGAUCCGUAGCUGGUCUGAGAGGAUGAUCAGCCACACUGGAACUGAGACACGGUCCAGACUCCUACGGGAGGCAGCAGUAGGGAAUAUUGGACAAUGGGCGCAAGCCUGAUCCAGCCAUACCGCGUGAGUGAAGAAGGCCUUCGGGUUGUAAAGCCCUUUUGUUAGGGAAGAAAAGCAGCGGAUUAAUACCCCGCUGUUCUGACGGUACCCAAAGAAUAAGCACCGGCUAACUUCGUG
rnacentral:rRNA from 1 species